rnacentral:rRNA from 1 species
UACGAAGGGGGCUAGCGUUGCUCGGAAUUACUGGGCGUAAAGGGCGCGUAGGCGGCACUGUUAGUCAGGCGUGAAAGUCCUGGGCUCAACCUGGGAACUGCGCUUGAUACGGCAGAGCUAGAGGAUGGAAGAGGCUCGCGGAAUUCCCAGUGUAGAGGUGAAAUUCGUAGAUAUUGGGAAGAACACCGGUGGCGAAGGCGGCGAGCUGGUCCAUUACUGACGCUGAGGCGCGACAGCGUGGGGGAGUAAACAGG